rnacentral:rRNA from 1 species
UACAGAGGUCCCAAGCGUUGUUCGGAUUCAUUGGGCGUAAAGGGUGUGUAGGUGGCGCCGUAAGUCGGGUGUGAAAUCUCGGGGCUUAACUCCGAAACUGCAUUCGAUACUGCGGUGCUUGAGGACUGGAGAGGAGACUGGAAUUCAUGGUGUAGCAGUGAAAUGCGUAGAGAUCAUGAGGAAGACCAGUGGCGAAGGCGGGUCUCUGGGCCGAAACUGACGCUGAGGAGCGAAAGCGUGGGGAGCAAACAGG